rnacentral:rRNA from 1 species
UGGCAAACGGGUGCGGAACACGUGGGAAUCUACCCAAAAGUAUGGAACAACAGUGGAAACGACUGCUAAUACCAUAUACGCUCGAAAGAGGAAAGAUUUAUCGCUUUUGGAUGAGCCCGCGUAAGAUUAGCUAGUAGGUGAGGUAAUGGCUCUACCUAGGCAACGAUCUUUAGCUGGUCUGAGAGGACGAUCAGCCACACUGGGACUGAGAUACGGCCCAG